AUUGCACGCUGGCGGCAGGCUUAACACAUGCAAGUCGAACGAGUGGCGGACGGGUGAGUAAUGCUUGGGAAUCUAGCUUAUGGAGGGGGAUACCUACGGGAAACUGUAGCUCAUACCGCGUACCCUAGGAUGAGCCCAAGUGGGAUUAGGUAGUUGGGUAGGUAAAGGCGCACCAAGCCGACGAUCUCUAGCUGGGCUGAGAGGAUGACCAGCAACACUGGGACUGAGAAACGGCCCAGACUCCUACGGGAGGCAGCAGUGGGGAAGAUUGCGCAAUGGGGGCAACCUGACGCAGCCAUGCCGCGUGAAUGAAGAAGGCCGUCGGGUUGUAAAGUUCUUUCGGUAGCGAGGCGUUAACUACAGAAGAAGAACCGGCUAACUCCGUGCCAGCAGCCGCGGUAAUUC
rnacentral:rRNA from 1 species